AAGUCGUAACAAGGUUUCCGUAGGUGAACCUGCGGAAGGAUCAUUAUCGAUUCUCGAGGGGUUGAGCUCAGUUGUGCUGGCUUUGUCGCAUGUGCACGCUGGGUUUGGCCUCCUCCUCACACACACCUGUGCACACCAUGUGGGCCUCUCGGGGCCUGCGUUUUCAUCACACCCCAACGCAUGUUUAUAGAAUGUAACCAUAUUAUCUGCCGCUUCGCGAGGAGUGGACGAUAAGAAAUAAUACAACUUUCAGCAACGGAUCUCUUGGCUCUC
rnacentral:misc_RNA from 1 species